AUUGAACGCUGGCGGCAUGCUUUACACAUGCAAGUCGAACGGUAACAGGGAGCUUGCUCCGCUGACGAGUGGCGAACGGGUGAGUAAUGCAUCGGAACGUACCCAGUCGUGGGGGAUAACGUAGCGAAAGUUACGCUAAUACCGCAUACGUCCUGAGGGAGAAAGCGGGGGACCGUAAGGCCUCGCGCGAUUGGAGCGGCCGAUGUCGGAUUAGCUAGUUGGUAGGGUAAAGGCCUACCAAGGCGACGAUCCGUAGCGGGUCUGAGAGGAUGAUCCGCCACACUGGGACUGAGACACGGCCCAGACUCCUACGGGAGGCAGCAGUGGGGAAUUUUGGACAAUGGGCGAAAGCCUGAUCCAGCCAUGCCGCGUGAGUGAAGAAGGCCUGGUGUAAG
rnacentral:rRNA from 1 species